rnacentral:rRNA from 1 species
AACGAACGCUGGCGGCAUGCCUAACACAUGCAAGUCGAACGAAGCCUUCGGGCUUAGUGGCGCACGGGUGCGUAACGCGUGGGAAUCUGCCCUUGGGUUCGGAAUAACAGUUAGAAAUGACUGCUAAUACCGGAUGAUGUCUUCGGACCAAAGAUUUAUCGCCCAAGGAUGAGCCCGCGUAGGAUUAGGUAGUUGGUGGGGUAAUGGCCCACCAAGCCGACGAUCCUUAGCUGGUCCGAGAGGAUGAUCAGCCACACUGUGACGGAGACACGGCCCAGACUCCUACGGGAGGCAGCAGUGGGGAAUAUUGGACAAUGGGCGAAAGCCUGAUCCAGCAAUGCCGCGUGAGUGAUGAAGGCCCUAGGGUUGUAAAGCUCUUUUACCAGGGAUGAUAAUGACAGUACCUGGAGAAUAAGCUCCGGCUAACUCCGUGCCAGCAGCCGCCGUAACAC